AACCUGGUUGAUCCUGCCAGUAGUCAUAUGCUUGUCUCAAAGACUAAGCCAUGCAUGUCUAAGUAUAAGUAUUAUACAGCGAAACUGCGAAUGGCUCAUUAAAACAGUUAUAAUUUAUUUGAU
rnacentral:rRNA from 1 species